CUUCACAAACCGACCUCCGGCGCUCACGCUCUCUCACUAAAACAUACAUGUUCACUCACUCCCCUCGAUUAGCAUCUGCUGUCGGGAGGUUAGUGGAGUGUGAAGACCUGCUUCUUCCUCAGAGAGAUUUCUUUGUUUCUUUUUUCUUGUGAAUUUUUGGAGUGGAGUUGGGCCGGCAUGGCGUAGAUGAGACGUGCAUUUGGACCCAGCAUGUUUAGUCUGUCUCUGGGCUUUGUGUCUGUCCCUAAGUCUCAUCUGGACUUGUCAAGUGACCCAGGCAGCGAUCUACAGACUCGCAGGUCCGUGUAUCUACAAAGAGGUUUCGUUUGAGCCUGGGCAGACCUUCUACAGGGGUUGUAACAAGUGCUACCGACCACGAAAAUGGCUACUUCUGUCUCUCACCGAUGAAACCUACAACAUGGCCCAACAAGUGCCAGCGGGUUCCAACGGAGUGUGGCUACCGCGUGGUUUAUAAGGAGUUCCCGGAGGUGGAGUGUCAAGCCUACAGCUGGAUCUGGUGAAGGCAGACAGACACCUAUGCCCCCCUACAGUCAAAAUACACGAUCGCAAGACUCUGGCUGUGGACAACCUCUUCAAUUAAGUAGUUACCAUGCAGAGAACAGACCACAUCCAACCUUCAAUUUGUCAACUUGUUCAAUCAAAGAAGGAACCAAUUCCCAAAUUGAACGACCCAACUCCAAAAGUUUCGUCCUUCGUUUCAAUAAAUGUGUGUGUGUGUGUGUUAAUGUUAUUAAAAUGUGGGACAGAAGGACCUCAAUUGGCACGGAUUCCAAAUGGGCAUAGAUUCAAAUUCCAAUAGAUUCUCAAACACAAGUACCAUAAAAAGUAGCAACAUACUCUGACUGUACAGUAGUAUCCCAUCAUCCCAAUAUGAUUGCUCAGCUUCCUGCCCUCCUCUCCUUACUUUAGUGACCACUGAUCUUGAUCACACCGACAGUGUCAUUGUUUUUUGGUACACAAAAAGUACAUUCAUUUCCAAUGGAAAGCUGUGAUUGCCAUGCAGCAUUGAAGAGGCAGUUGCAGUGCUUUCUGUAUAAAUUCGAUUUGUCGAACGUAUGCAUCAACUCGUAUGCGUAGACGGCAUGACAUAAAUGGUAGCAGAAGGUGAAUGUUUAACUUUUGUUGCACACAUAUCCAGAUGAUGCCGCGUACCAUUUUACACAAUGAUUAACAUAGUUAAAGGUCAAACAAAAAAUAAAGGUGUGAUUGAGGUGUAACGCCUUGAUCACACCGAUAGUGUCUUGCGCAAAAUUUGAUUUGUGUGCAACAAAAGUUCAACAUGAACUUUCUGCUACCAUUUCUGUCAAGCAGUCUACGCAGUUUGACGCAUACGUUCGAUAAAUCCAAUGUAUGCAUCACACAGAACACACUGUAACUGCCUCUGCAAUUCUGCAAAGCAAACUCAGCGUUCCAUUAGAAAUGAAUGUACUUCUGGUGUACCAAAAUGCCAUGACUGUCGGUGUGAUCGAGGCGUAAGCGACCAAUUGAGUAGUUUGAUGAGGACUCUGACCAUAUGUCAAUAUUGUAUCACCUGUUGUUUACGAAGCAUGUGACAAAUAAAAGUUUGAUUUGACCUCGUGACAAGCCACAAGACAAACGGCGUGCUUCUAGAUGUCGACGCCAUUACCCGGCACUGCCCGAAUGUGGCCCUCAAAUCUCAACCAGAUACCCUUCAUUACCAUGCAGUGUUACAAAGGUCUAUAGUUAUAUGCGUGAUAUUUUCCUAUCGGUUCCUUCGUAGGUGUUCAGUCUUCUGUAUGUCGCAGACCGCUAUGUUUUCAAUGUGAGGAAGCGAGAGCGCCAUCGGUCAACUUCACAAACCUAGGCUGGAUUUACACUCUACAGGCUCCGCAAACGCUUUGCGACUUCACCCGCACUGAGAUUUGAGCUGUGCAUGGCAGAGCGUGUAACUUCACACAACUGUCAGUGAUGAAUUGCUCAGCAGAAAGCUUGACUGGAGUUCACUCAUCCUUACAGGGCGACUCCAUAGCCUCACCCGUCGACUGGUUUACAUUUACAUUUAAGUCAUUUAGCAGACGCUCUUAUCCAGAGCGACUUACAAAUUGGUUUGUCAGGCUAUGGAGCUAUUUCACCGUUCACGUCACUGUGUGUACAGUAUAUAAUCAAUUAUUUCAAACAAAACAUGGCAGUGUUACAUAAUGUGUAAAGAAAUGUUCACUAUUUCUUCAACCGGUUUUUGGGAACGGGUACCAUACCUUAGUGCAUGAAAUAUCAACAUGGCAAUUUUUCUAAAUACAUUAUCAUCAGUAUUUUAUUAUGAAAAUGCAUUACAUCUCUUCUGCUUUUUUAUCUUUUGGAUGGGGGAAUCCACAUAGUCACCACUAUGUUGUGUAAAAAAUAAAACAAAAA